CCCAAAACAAGUUCAGUCUCCUGGCCUCGCUGCUGCUGUUCAAAGCUGUUCCAGAUCCUUGCACUGGCAGUGAAUCUCUGUGUGUAAAAGACAGUCCUGUUAGCAGGCGCGAAGAACAGGACCUCACACUUCUCCGCUCCAGACUCAUCAUCCUUCUUAUUGAGAAACGAUACGAGGCAGCUGUAAAGACCCAGAGGUGCUUUAGCAGCACUGUGGUGAGCACUGAAGGUGGUGUGAGCAGUGCAUCAGCCAAGCACCCACCGCUAAGCUCUCCUGGUGGACUAAAUGCUGUAGCUUAAGCUAGCGGAGAGGUUCUCUGGCUGCACAGAAAAACGCAGACGCCUAAGCCAAGAAUGUAGAGGAGUUAUUAAAGUUUCUCUGCUUCUGAAGAGGUGAAGGUGGUAUGUGGGGGGGGAACUUAUAUGCUGCAAUAUAGUUUUAAACAACAUUUUGGUGACUGCUGCUGUUCAGAACAUGGAUGUCACAGCUUAAGGAGUCACCCCCAAACCAACCAGGUCCUGCUGUUAGGAGAUUCAUUUUGGAACAGAAUCAGAUGGGUCAAGUAGGGCUACAGAGGGUGGCAAGCCAGCUGGAGAAGAGAUGUUCAUGCGGAAGGGCUUUGCAGAUGCUAACGCUGCUGUCAACAUAGAUGCAUUUCCACAGGGCCAAGCAAGCGUACUACCCUCUUGGCUUCCAGCGUUAUGAAGACACUGAACAUGGGCUCAUGGCAGAUCAGCAGUGCAAAAACACUGACCCACAGAAAAAAUCAGGUGGGAAGGGACCUCCAGAAGUCUCUAGUCCAAUUCCCCACUCACAGCAGGGUAACUCCAAAGCUAGACCAGGUUGCUCAGGG